AUGAAAGAGCAUGGAAAUUCUCCCACUGUGAAAACCCCUGCAUGGGCUGCAAACCCAGGAAAAUCAAGACCAUUGAUAAAACCCAGACAGUUUGCAGAAGGGCCUAGGGAAGGUCAUUCCUCUGGACCCUUGGCUGCACCUUCUCCGACAACAGAUGAAUUCACCAGAUGUGUCAGAAGCGGCUCUCUUUUCCUCAUGCAAGAUGAACACACCCUUUGUUUGAUGAGCCUCCGAGAGCUUAAAGGUAAGGAAGCAUAAUAAUAUGUCAUCUCCAUCUUGGUUUUCUCCUUAAUUCUUUCUUUAUUACUUCUGCAACUGGCCAGGUGCUUAACAUAGAGGCAGACACAUGGAAGACUUGUAAAAGGCAUUCGCCUAUCAUCGCUGCUAUCAACCUCGCAGCCGGCUCUCCUCCUUCUCCAGAAAACUCCCUCAACCACUUAGAAACUGUUUAAAGAAGUGCUUGGUGCAGGUUAUAACCUGAAUUGAUAAUUAACCUAUCAAUCUUUUUUUUUUUUCAGCACAGUGAAAAUUACCUUCCAGUGAGCCAUGGGGGAAAAAUAAAACCCCUUUGAAUCCUGUUUUCUUUCCCUGU
rnacentral:lncRNA from 1 species